GGGGGGGGCGCCGUNAGUUAGGUCCAAUGUCCUCACGAUGGGAUUAAGAGCUUGCUCUUAUGAAGUUAGCGGCGGACGGGUGAGUAACACGUGGGUAACCUGCCCAUAAGACUGGGAUAACUCCGGGAAACCGGGGCUAAUACCGGAUAACAUUUUGAACUGCAUGGUUCGAAAUUGAAAGGCGGCUUCGGCUGUCACUUAUGGAUGGACCCGCGUCGCAUUAGCUAGUUGGUGAGGUAACGGCUCACCAAGGCAACGAUGCGUAGCCGACCUGAGAGGGUGAUCGGCCACACUGGGACUGAGACACGGCCCAGACUCCUACGGGAGGCAGCAGUAGGGAAUCUUCCGCAAUGGACGAAAGUCUGACGGAGCAACGCCGCGUGAGUGAUGAAGGCUUUCGGGUCGUAAAACUCUGUUGUUAGGGAAUAACAAGUGCUAGUUGAAUAAGCUGGCACCUUGACGGUACCUAACCAGAAAGCCACGGCUAACUACGUGCCAGCAUCCGCGGUAAUACGUAGGUGGCAAGCGUUAUCCGGAAUUAUUGGGCGUAAAGCGCGCGCAUGUGGUUUCUUGUCUGAUGUGAAAGCCCACAGCUCAACCGUGGAGGGUCAUUGGAGACUGGGAGACUUGAGUGCGCAAGAGAUAGUGGAAUUUCAUGUGUGGGCGGGGGGUGGGGUANGCUAUGGGAGGAACGCCAAUGGCAGAGGCGGAUUUCCGGACGGGUGUU
rnacentral:rRNA from 1 species